rnacentral:rRNA from 1 species
UGCGCAGGCGGCUUACUAAGUCAGUGGUGAAAUACUGCCGCUCAACGGUAGAACUGCCAUUGAUACUGCAUCUCUUGAGUAUGGUUGAGGUAGGCGGAAUGUGUUGUGUAGCGGUGAAAUGCAUAGAUAUGACACAGAACGCCAAUUGCGAAGGCAGCUUACUAAGCCAUUACUGACGCUGAGGCACGAAAGCGUGGGGAGCGAACAGGAUUAGAUACCCUGGUAGUCC